rnacentral:rRNA from 1 species
CAAUAGCGUAUAUUAAAGUUGUUGCGGUUAAAAAGCUCGUAGUUGGAGUUCUGCCAGGUGCCGCCUGUCCGCCCCAGUGGUGAGUACGUGGCGCGCAUUUGGCCCUUUCAAGGGGAGCGUAUCUGCACUUUAUUGUGUGGUGCGGGAUCCUUGACUUUUACUUUGAGGAAAUAGGAGUGUUCCAAGCAGGCUCUCGUCGUGCACAGCUCAGCAUGGAAUAAUAGCAUUGGACCUCGAUUCUAAGCUGUUGGUUGCCAGAAGCGAAGUAAUGAUGAAGAGGGAUAGUUGGGGGCAUUCGUAUUUAACUGUCAGAGGUGAAAUCCUUGGAUUUGUUAAAGACGGACUACUGCGAAAGCAUCUGCCAUGGAUGUUUUCAUUGA